AAUAACUGCAUUUUCAGUGUGGUAAUGCUGGGAAAGGUUAUGUGCCUUAUGCAUUUAUAUAGCAAUGACCUGCACUUUCUCAUGAAGGGUACCUCAUGAGGGUUUCAUUCACUUUUCUCAUCAAGUUCUGCAGAUUCUGAUUGAAAGGCGCAUCCCUGUGCUUAUUGACCACAUUUACUGCACAACUGGGGAGCACAGAGUCUGAUACCCAUUCCCAUAAGUAUGGUCAUAUCAAGGAGAGAUGCUGAAUCAACCACUCUACCAAACAUGAGAAAAACCCACCCCCAGUAUCAGUGAGUGUGUGAGAAAUCUGGCACUGAGUUGACCACCCAGAGAUUGCAAGGAGACUGCAUUGGCAAGGGGACCACCCAAAUACUGACAUUCCACUGUCCUCAAAUCAGCAGCAAGAAACGUCUGUGGCAUGCACUCUGAAAUACAUGCUGGGAAUAUGAAUCUUUCUGGAGAAAGAGAAGGAGCGCAGAUUGUAGUUUGUGGAAGAAAUCUAGUAAAAAUAUGUGACCGUUGACUAACAUAAAGCAUACAACAUAUUUUAAUCCUGUACACAUGUGAAUGAAUGAAUGAAAUGGAAGCCAGGACAGCACACAAAGAUUGUACACCAAAGAGCUGCCAGUUCUUCUGUUUCUAAAGGCACUAUGAAAAUAUGUCAAAAUGAGUUUGUUGCAGAAUAAUCAUAUAGGCAGAGACUGCUGCUAUGGUAGCAUUGGCACAGAGCAAAAGGGCCUGCUUCCUGCUAUAAGUGCUGCUCAUUGGUUUAGAGCUCAGUAAACUUGAUUUAUUCAAGAAUUCAUGUUUCCCUGUUCAAACCCCAUACCUCUGUGUUUUAGGUGUUUCCAUCCUUCGUUAUUAUGAUGUGGAUUCUCUUCCCAUUGCAGUUAUUCUUUUCACCUGUGUAUGCAGUAGAAGACUGAAACUGAAAAUUUUAAGCCAGACACUGUGGAUGAAUGAACAUAAUGAAAAUUUGUGACCAAAAUUUUGUUAUGGGUGCUAAGGAAUAGUAGAUGCUAUGUCUUUUAAGCUUCUAAGUAAAUUUAAUUUACCCCCAGAAGCAGACUAUUUAAUAGUAUAGUUCUCCUUUGUCUCUGUGUAUGCCUUCUUAUAUUAUGUAUAAAAUGUUACACGUUUACUGUAAGUUUACUGUAUUUCUGCUGUUAAAGAUUGUCAAAUGCUCAUGUUGAAAUAUUUAACGGAGAGAUGAAUUGGUCUUAAAACCCAUACUGAAAAAAAAAACCUACCUGGGACUUAGAAGAGUAUAAUAUUCUGCCAUUCAUGGACAAUUAUUUCCUGUAUUAGCAUCCUACUAAGUGCAGUGACUGUUUUUGGUGUGUUUUUGAGGAUUUGGACUUCAAAUAUUUCCCAGAGAAAAGUCUUCUAGUGUUAAGUGAGGAACACCAGUGCAGUGCCAAAAUGGUACAGAAUUUCUGCAGGGUGUUUGUGGGAGAACUGUGUGGUAUUUUUGCAGUUUUUAUUAC